rnacentral:lncRNA from 1 species
UGGGAUACUGGGAUUUGUAGUUUGCAUCCAGUCCAAUCCCUUUCUUUCUUUUUGUCAUGGAGGAAGAACCCACCCAAACCUCUCAGACAGAUGGCCAUCCGGUUUAGUUGUGUUGUUAUAGUCCCGAUGCAUUGUUGUGAGUUUUAUGGGUCCGGAUUGUGGUUUUGUGGUGUGGUUGUGUUGUUAUAGUCACGAUGCAUUGUUGUGAGUUUUAUGGGUCCGGAUUGUGGU